AUUGCUAGGUAAACGAAUGCGUUGGCGAAGACGGUUCGGCGAUUCGUCGAGCCGUUGCGAAGUUACUAAAGAAACGGAUGUUUAGGGUUCGUUUUCGACUGGAGGGCCGAGGCGAUAUCGUAAAUUCAUGAAAACGGAUUUGAGGCAUCGUGGCACAUAACCAAAGACCUUUAAUUUUCGGAUCAUGAAUUGGAGGCCGUUCGGGUGGUCGCGCAAGAGAUCGGGCCAAACCGGGUGCCGGGUGCCGCGGGAGGCCGAUUGCGAGUGUCGACAAGCAAUCGGAAUGCGAAAUGAGGUGGGUUGUUUUUACCGAAGCGACUUGGUCACCCCGCAUGUCAAAGCGAAAUGUGGAAUUUUGUUGAUGCAUAUGUGUAUGUGCAUACGGCAUAUUAGCAUUGUAUAAAUGCAUACUAGUUGGUAAUUUGCAUAUUAGUAUGUAUGCUUAGUGAAAUACAUGCUAGGGGUAUUUAGCAUUAUGAGAUUCAUGUUGACAUGCAUUAGAGAACGUGAGCAUAUAAAUGAAUGUUAACAUGUUGUUAAUUAUAUGAGAAAUUGCUAAAUGUGGACACAUGUUAGAUGACAAUAAGCAUAUUGACAUUAUGAAAAUGCAUACUACAGGAUAAUUGCAUAAUAAGGCAUUAGGAAAGUACAUGCUAGUUGUAAUGUAUGUUGGCAUUGAGAGGAUGCAUGUAGUUAACAUUAAAAGAAUGCAUGUAAAUGACAUGAUGUAAAAGCUAGGCAAAUGCUUGGUAUGGUUGCUAUAUAAUAAUUAUCGUAGAAUGCAUGAUGAAUAUGCUAUGUAAAUGCUAAAUGAUUGCAUGAAUUGGAUCGAUAACUCUAUGAUAGAGACCUUGACAUUGGACAUCUAUAUAUUAGAUCGAGUGGCACUUAACCUAGAGUCAGGAACCUAGGUUGAACAUGGAUGAUAUGAACCUAGUGUGAAUAAACAUAGGUUGGACAUGAACCUAGUGUCAAAGAACUUAGGUUGGAAUCAUGUGUGGCAUUAAACCUAUUGUUAAAGAACAUAAGUCGGACUUGGACAAUAGUAAACAAGGGUGACAAUGAAAAUAGAGACAUGAUUGGCAUCAAGAAAGUGGUUGUUAAACAUAGUUUAACCAUAUUGACAUUGGUCCAAGUUGACAUAGAGAGUGGCAUGAUUAAAUAGGUAGAAAACCUAUUAUGACAAUGGCAUUGUGACGAGUGGCUAUGAAUCCUCAAGUUGAGGAUUGGAUCGAUACUCACGAUAAGUCUUGGCUUGAGGGAGGUAGCUCCCCCUCGGGCGGUGCGCUCUGGAGUUGGUCACCACUGGGCGUGGUAAAGUCCCCCCCCGAAGACGGUCCCCAGGGAGGUUCGAGUCCCCCGUUAUUAAGGGAUUUUGGGUUGUGAUUCAUUGGGGUUAACAUGGUUAACCGGUAAGAUUGGGUCAAAGCCAAGUGAAUGUAUAGCCUUAUGUGUUACGGGUUUGGUAUCCCGGUUGAGAGGAUUUAGGGCUGAGGUGUAUGUGAGACGUCCAUCACCUCGAGCCUAGUUUUGGUGCGGUAUUCCACAGUUGAUUGACUCGAGACCGAGUCGGGUGGUUAGCUUGGCUAGGGUAGAGGAAAACCUUAGGAGCAAAUAACCAAUGAUGUAAAGUGAUAAGAUGUAUAAAUUAUGAAAAAGCUAUGGAUAGCAUGAUACAAAGUAAAAUCAUUUAUUCUACUUGUAUAGUUGCAUGAUUCGCAUAUAGCAUGGCAUUAUUGCAUUCGUGAGGCAAAGCAUGGUUUUAUUAGUUGCAUAAUAAAGAUAUAUAUCUAUCUGUUUAUUGAACUAACUUGCAGUUGCCUCCCUUGGACCUAUUGGUCGAGCUUUUCCCUUGGGUGGCCGUACCCACUGGGAACCAUGGAGUUGGUUCUCACCCCACGUGGUUUUGGGGUGUUACAGGUUCGCACGUGAGCGGCGCGGCGGCGCGAGGCGAGGGCGUAGCUCCAUAGUUAGCGCCCUACCACCGAGACCAGAGAUAGCGGUACCCUGAGUCGGCCUUACUUAGGGAUGUAAGAAAAUGAAAAGGAUCAAGUUGUAAUAAUAUUGUUAAAGCUAGAUUGUAUUUGGAAGCUAAAAAGAAUGUAUUAUGUAAUUGUGAUGUAAAAUGAAUCUAAUGUGAAUGCUUGUAAUAACAUAGGAUGUGUUAUGUUGUUGAUAUCUUUCUUCUGCAAUCUUGCUUGAAUACUGUUCCUGGUUGGAACUCAUUGUACUUGUAUUGAUUGCUAUGCCUUGAACGUACAGGGGAGACUCUGUCCGCAGUACAGGGGAAACCCUGUCCGUUCGGCGAUCUGUUGGCGGCGCCGCGACCCGGCCAAAUAGGCGGGCGGUCGCGGGGCGUGACAUCCAGCUUGUGCCGCCUAAGUGCCUGUGGUAGCCCAACAUCCUUACUCUUGGAAUGUGUCUGUCCCACCAGACCCCGUUUGCUUCUCAAUAUCGCACGAGCGAACAUAGGUCACGUAGGCUAACUCCGGAGUGUCGGCU
rnacentral:lncRNA from 1 species